rnacentral:misc_RNA from 1 species
GCAAACUUGGUCAUUUAGAGGAAGUAAAAGUCGUAACAAGGUUUCCGUAGGUGAACCUGCGGAAGGAUCAUUAACGUGUAUGUCAUUGAGCUCCCGCCUGUUGGCACUGGCAAGCCGAGCCAAGCUUCGUGGGCUCCCGAAGCGUGCCUGAAGGCGGCGCCCAACCUUCUCAAACCCCUGUGCACCUUGACGGCGGAAGGCCCUUGGGCCGGAAGCCGCUUCACAAACCCGCAAACUUCAGAAUGCUCUGCGACUCCUGUCGCCUAACAAACUGAACAACUUUCAACAACGGAUCUCUUGGCUCUCGCAUCGAUGAAGAACGCAGC